CUGGCCUGCUAUAGCUAAGAGCUAAGAUAACAAGCUAAGAGGUAGCUAGUCAACAAACAUCUGUUCGUGCAGACAUGCAGACUGUCAUAAAAUAAUUUGUCAAAAGAAGUAUUUUUCUGCUGAAGUAGUUAUUCGAGAUCACUCGAAGAUGGAUUAUGUCGACAUUGAUGAGAAGAUGAGUGAUGAGAAGAUCGUGACGACGGUGAUAAUUAUGCUUGAGGGCGGAAAAGAUUAUCCAAUUUUCGCCAUCAAGUUGAAUCUUCAGAUGAUGAAUGGCAUCCAAGCACCAGCCAGAGAUGCAAGCUCUCAGUUUCUUCACUAUUCUUCACUUUUUCCAUCCUUUUCAGAACAUUGCAAUUGUCAAGAGGAUGGUGGCAUCAAAAGCUAGGAAUGGACUAAAGCAAUAUAUGAAGGCCAAGCCAACAAAGUACAGUAUUUAUAUCACUUGUAUUUUCUAUUGCAAAGAACCUCAGUUAUUUAUUUUUUAUAUUUCAUAAUAUUUUACUUAUGUAUUUUACAUAUAUAUUUUUUUGUUCUGUUGUGCAAAUAAAUCACUUGCAUAAAGUCUAAUGGUUGUGUGUAUUAUUUUAUAAUUGCAUUAUUUUAUGAAUUGACUGAAAUAGCUUGCAGUGCCCUGCAUAACAUUUGGUCAUUAGGUUGCUUUUUGAUGUAUCCAAGGAGGUUUCUUGGUACCUGGACAUAGUCUUGGAAAAAAUAUUGUAGUAAUCUAAUUUUUCAUAAUAUCUUCCUCAAAUUUGAAAUAUAAACUGAUGAGACUUAUGUCUUUCAAUCAAUUACCUAACUGGAUUCCUACAGGUUUGUUUUCAUUUAUUUUUACAUGAAAUUGUAAAAUAUUACAUGCAGUAUAAAUUACCUUCAAGACACUUUAAAUUCUAUAACUUUUUGUCUGUGUAAGUUUUUUCAACUUUAACAGUUGGGUAAUACACUCUAAAGUGUCUUCUUUUUAAACAUGUCUAAAUUGUGCAUGUAGUGCAAAUAGUUGAGCAACUGCAAAUAUUUUAGUUUGGGCAUGUUAUUUCUGGGGAUGUGCCUCAGGCAGGGGGAGGGAGAAAGGGAACUGA